rnacentral:rRNA from 1 species
GACGAACGCUGGCGGCGUGCUUAACACAUGCAAGUCGAACGGAAAGGCCUGCUUUCCCUUGUGGAUUGCGGGUACUCGAGUGGCGAACGGGUGAGUAACACGUGAGUGAUCUGCCCCCAACUUGGGUAUAAGCCUGGGAAACUGGGUCUAAUUCCCGAUAGGACUGCAGGGUGGUGCCUGUGGUGGAAAACGAUUUUCUAGUGGUUGGGGAUGAGCUCGCGGCCUAUCAGCUUGUUGGUGGGGUAAUGGCCUACCAAGGCGGCGACGGGUAGCCGGCCUGAGAGGGUGGACGGCCACAUUGGGACUGAGAUACGGCCCAGACUCCUACGGGAGGCAGCAGUGGGGAAUAUGACACAAUGGGCGGAAGCCUGAUGCAGCGACGCCGCGUGGGGGAUGACGGCCUUCGGGUUGUAAACUCCUUUCGACCGCGAGGAAGCCACCUGGUUGGAAGGGUGGUGACGGUAGUGGUAGAAGAAGCACCGGCUAACUACGUG